AUUUACGGCCAAGCCACUGCUUUACAGAGUGGCCUUUGUGGUUUGGACCCGAUUUUCGCUCUAUUUACGCCAUGCCAUUGCUUUAAUGAGUGAUCUUUGUGGAAGGUUUGGGUUCGGGCUGGAACAUUUUUUUAUUUUUUUUUGGGUUUGGGCGGAUGGGCUUUUGCGGGUUUGGGCUGUGGCUGGUGGUUGGAUUCGGUAUAAGGUGAGGUGGAUGCAGUGACUCACCGACAAAGGCCAACCUUCAGCCUGCAGAAUGGCAGAGGGAAGAGGAGAGAAGGAAGAGCCGUGCGUUGCAAAAGGGAUGGGAGUAAAGAUGGGAGGAGAGAGGGGUGCCCGAAAGUUUGGUUUUGUUUUUGUUGGCAACGGGUGCGCAGAGAGACGGCGAGGCAGGGGUGGAGGGCUAGGGGGCAGGGUUGCUUUCAGAAUUUUUGUUCCGGCUGGAAGCCAUUUCCGCAAGAAUUGAUGGGGAAGGCAUGGUUGUGUGCAGUUUGUGGGGUUAGCCGGUCAGGAAGGGGUUACUGAAGGAGGUAUGGGAGAGUUUGAUUUUUCUGUUUCCUCCCUUGAUUCAAAAGAUUGACUCACUCCACAUUCUCUCUCUGUCUCUGUGAUUCUGGGUUCGUUCUGCCAUUUUUGCUUCUGAAGAAACCUAAUUGCAGGUUCCUUUUCCAUUUCCAAGCUUCUGUUAUGCUCUGUGCUGCCGUAUUUUCUGUUGUUAAUGAGGCUCGACUGAAAUAUGCAUCAACUUGAUUGAUUAUGCUGCUGUAUUCUCUCCCUCUGCAUUUUCUCUUUUUCUCUUUUUAAUGAGGCUUUAUGCUGCUAUACCAAAAUGAUGAAAUAUUCAUUUUUAAUGAUAUUUAUAGUUGGGUUUGUUUUAGUUCGGAGUUUUAAUUUGAUCAGUGUGCUUUUUUUGUGAUUAGGAUUUAGGACAUUGGUAACUUGGUUGAUUAGGAAUUUCUGUGUUUACCUCCUGAUCAGUAUUCAAAUUUAACUUUUUGUCAUAUAUUUUCAGCAGAUACUGUAGUUAAUCAAUUCAUCCGUGACGUAUUUAAACUUAAGUGAAUUUUUAAAUUCAAGUUUGAAAAUCUUCUUUUUGGUGAAGCUAUUUGUACAAGUAAUGAGACUAGGAAUGGCAACAGGCAGGUUGCUGCCUGUUUGAAAAUCUUCUUUUUGGUGAAGCUAUUUUCAGCAGAUACUGUAGUUAAUCAAUUCAACAGUUAGGUUGCUGCCAUUGUUUGUUAAUUAUUAUUAACAAGCUUUUGUUGCUCCCAUUGUCUGUUAAUUAUUAUUAACAAGUUUUAAGGCAUGAACCCAUUGAUUAUUGAUGGUUAUUGGCGCAAGGCCAUUAUUGUUUCACCGCUGUGAGAUUGUGUUGUUUCUUGAAGAUUUUUUGGUGAGGUUCAUGCUGUGUACAUUUUCUUUUGUAUUUUUUGCAUUUCUUGCAAUCAUAAAGUGGGUUGAGCUUGGUUCAUGAAUAAAAACAGCAAAUGUAUUGACUUUUGGAUGUGUUUCAUGUAAAAACAGCAAGUUGUGAUGUGUUUGUCGUUGUAAACUUGAUCGGGAACUUUGGCUUUCUAUGUGUUUCGCAUGAUAAAACAGCAAAUAUAUUGAGCUUGAAAAUAAGGGUUUAGGGUUCACUGUCUUUCCAUGUAUAGAAAUUUACCCCUAUUUUUGGUUUCUUUAUAAUUUCAAUUAUCUUUCUGGAACCUAAUCCCUAAACUUAUUAAAUUCAUUGAUUAGGUGAUUUUGGAUUCAAUCCCGAUGUUCCUAUUUCUCGGAUUGGUGUUGUGUGCUACUUUCUGGUGAUUAGAUUGGUAAAUCAUUGCAUUUUACUGAAGGUAUUUGACCUGCCUAUUUUAAACUUUUGAGCUCCUUUCGUCUCUAAAAUGUUUGAAUAUAGUCGUCUUGGGAGUCUUAGUGUGAUUAUUCUUCUAUUUCUUAGAUUCAAUAUGUUUUUAAUUUCUCAUUUAAUUGGUGUAGCUUUGCUCAUUUAACCAGAAUUUAAUCAGAUUUGGUCCUCGAAUUUCUCUGAAUUGCUAAAGGAUUUAUUUUCUUUGGAAAUUUUAGAAACUCGGGUCAUGGAGGAAGAAGGGUUCCUUGCCAUUUUUAGGUAUAUAAUUAUGUGCCCUGAUUGCAUGUUCACAGCCUAUUUAGUUAAAUGGAUUUUUUAUUUAUCUUUCUAAAGCUUUCAUGCCUAGAUUUUAAAUAUGUGAUUGGUUUGUGAGUGAUAAAUGAAAACAAUAAUCAUGGGGGCAUUCUUAUUUUUGGAUUUUCUCUUCUGCAUUUUUUCUUCUGUCCUUUGUAUGUUUGCAGUUAGAUCAAUGGGUUCAACCCCUUGAACUGAAAUUUGUUUGACAACCUUGAAAGUGUUUGGCUUUUUGGUGCUCUUUAAUGUGCACUUUCUUUUGUUUAUCUAGAUUAGUGUUUUUCCAGCCCUUUUAAUCGUUGUAGUUCACAAAGUCCUUAUUGAUCUUGCAAUUGUUGUUUUUAAUUUAUCUUUGUUGGGUAGACGGCAUGUACUGUGGGUUUCGGUGUUUAGGGAAUAUUCUGAGCUUCAUUACCAUUUUAAUGGUUAGGGAAAAUUUUGAGAUUCAUUAAUAGGAUUUUUGUGGCUAACAUUCUUUAGCUAAAUUCGUAAUUAUUUGGUGUUUAGAGUCCCGUGGAUUGGUAUCCAUAUCUUAUAAAUAUGUUGGCCAAGACAUAUGUUAGCUUUCAUUCUGCUUUUGCUUUCGUUUUGUUUUUUCAUUUUCAUUUCUUAUAUCUUGCUUUUGCUUUUGAUGCAUAGUUUGAAAGCUUCUGGAUCAUAAUAUGAAUUCCGGUGUGUGCAAUGUUUGUACAAUUUGAAUUCUCAAGCAUGAUGAUAUUGCCUAAACAUGUAGAUUUUACACUGCUUUUGUGCCAUGCAGGUGUGUGUGAGUGUGUGCAGUGUUUGUGCAAUUUGAGUGUGUGCCGUCUUAACUGCAGAAGCAAAAUAUGUGUCAAGUGCAUGGUGCUUCUGUUUCUUAUGGAAACAAGUCUUCUGCAUAUUUUUUGCUUUGAACGUUUGUGCUUGGAAAGUUAAGCUACUUGAACGUUUAGUUUCGUCUAGCUAAUUGUACAAUGUCUUUACAUGUCAGCUCAGUUGAAUGUAUAUAAAAACCAAGCCUGCUUAUCUUUUUGACCUCA